UACGUGAGGGUGCGAGCGUUGUCCGGAAUUAUUGGGCGUAAAGAGCUCGGUAGGCGGCUCGUUGCGGUACGGCUGUGGAAAACCCACAGCUUAACUGUGGGCCUGCAGCCGAUACGGGCGAGCUGGAGUUGCGGUAGGGGAGACUGGAAUUCCGUGGUGUAGCGGUGAAAUGCGCAGGACAAUCAGGAGGAACACCGGUGGCGAAGGCGGGUCUCUGGGCCGGAUACUGACGCUGAGGAGCGAAAGCGUGGGGGAGCAAACAGG
rnacentral:rRNA from 1 species